CUCGAUGACUAGCUACUGAAUCAAUCCAAAACAUAAUAAAAAAUAUUUGGUUGAGAAUGUAAGAGUAAAAUAAUGAUAUCAUCUUACGCUUAGUGCCGUCUAAAGCUGGUGCCAGAAGACUCGGUAAGGCCAGAGGCGCGAACGUUAGUCAUCUUUAUCAGGCGUAAAGGGUUUGUAGGCUGCUUUAAAAUUUUUAUAAGUUAAUUUAUUUAAUGAUAAUAUAAAUAAAAUUGAAUUAAAGCUAGAAUCUAAUAGAGGUUAAUUGAAUAACGCUUAGUUUAGGUCUAAUAUCCACAUAGAUUAAGUAGAAUAUUAAAGGCGAAGGCUUCUCUCCAAAUAAAGAUUGACGCUGAGACACGAAGGUGAGGAAAGGAAAUAGGAUUAGAUACCCAAAUUACCCCUCACUGUCAACGAUGAAUGGUAGUCAUUAGUGUUUAUUAGUGGCGUAGUUAAGGCAUUUACCAUUCCGCCUUGUGAGUAAGACUGCAAAGUUAAAACCAAAAAAAUUAGUCGGUUUCGAAGCAAACGAAGUGAAGCAUGUUAUUUAAUUA
rnacentral:rRNA from 1 species